GUUUACUGUUGUAUCUUGGAAUGUACAAUCUCGUUUGAUCUCAGAAGCAAAGAAGGGUUGGGAAUGGUUAGUAAUGGGAUGGAAGACCGCUGGGAAAACCAAGUGCCAUAGCAAAAU
rnacentral:rRNA from 1 species